rnacentral:rRNA from 1 species
CCCUACGGGAGGCAGCAGUGGGGAAUAUUGCACAAUGGGCGAAAGCCUGAUGCAGCCAUGCCGCGUGUGUGAAGAAGGCCUUCGGGUUGUAAAGCACUUUCAGCGAGGAGGAAAGGGUAGUAGUUAAUAACUGCUAUCUGUGACGUUACUCGCAGAAGAAGCACCGGCUAACUUCGUGCCAGCAGCCGCGGUAAU